rfam:Hordeum vulgare subsp. vulgare, WGS project CAJW01000000 data, contig: morex_contig_54538
AAGGUACUCCCUCCGUCCCGAAUUACUUGUUGUAGGAAUGAAGUUAUCUAGACGUGAUUUAGUUCUAGAUGUAUUUAGUUUUACUAUAAGUAAUUCUGGACGGAGGGAAUACUAG